rnacentral:lncRNA from 10 species
CAAACACCUCAUGUUCUCAUUCAAGGCCCUCUGGGCGCCCAUAUCAGAAUGACUGACCAAAGAGCAGUUGGCAGAAGGACCACUGUCCGAACAAAGGCCUUCAGACUCAGUGGAGAAAAAACAAGAUGCUUUGACCACCACUUAUUGGGAUGACAACACAGUCAUCAUCAAUCAAAGUAGACUUGUAGAUUAAAGGUACAGAUAUUUCAACUGUUUUCAGCCCAUGUAAAGAUAUCAAAACUCUUCUAUUUUACUUAACUGAUCACAGAAAUCUUUCCAUAUAAGAUAUUUUUCUGAGUCAAUAAUCAGUGGUAUAUAAAAUGGGACCAGAAAAUAACAAGACUCAUACCAUAUGCAAAAAAAAAAAAAAAUCUGUCAUUGCAUUAUUCUUCAAACACUUGUAUUUUACUUAAAUAAAAUGUACAACCAAAAC